AGAGUUUGAUCCUGGCUCAGAUUGAACGCUGGCGGCAGGCCUAACACAUGCAAGUCGAGCGGUAGAGAGAAGCUUGCUUCUCUUGAGAGCGGCGGACGGGUGAGUAAUGCCUAGGAAUCUGCCUGGUAGUGGGGGAUAACGUUCGGAAACGGACGCUAAUACCGCAUACGUCCUACGGGAGAAAGCAGGGGACCUUCGGGCCUUGCGCUAUCAGAUGAGCCUAGGUCGGAUUAGCUAGUUGGUGAGGUAAUGGCUCACCAAGGCGACGAUCCGUAACUGGUCUGAGAGGAUGAUCAGUCACACUGGAACUGAGACACGGUCCAGACUCCUACGGGAGGCAGCAGUGGGGAAUAUUGGACAAUGGGCGAAAGCCUGAUCCAGCCAUGCCGCGUGCGUGAAGAAGGUCUUCGGAUUGUAAAGCACUUUAAGUUGGGAGGAAGGGCAGUAAAUUAAUACUUUGCUGUUUUGACGUUACCGACAGAAUAAGCACCGGCUAACUCUGUGCCAGCAGCCGCGGUAAUACAGAGGGUGCAAGCGUUAAUCGGAAUUACUGGGCGUAAAGCGCGCGUAGGUGGUUUGUUAAGUUGGAUGUGAAAUCCCCGGGCUCAACCUGGGAACUGCAUUCAAAACUGACUGACUAGAGUAUGGUAGAGGGUGGUGGAAUUUCCUGUGUAGCGGUGAAAUGCGUAGAUAUAGGAAGGAACACCAGUGGCGAAGCGACCACCUGGACUAAUACUGACAUUGAGUGCGAAAGCGUGGGGAGCAAACAGAUUAGAUACCCUGGUAGUCCACGCCGUAACGAUUGUCACUAGCCGUUGGAAGCCUUGAGCUUUUAGUGGCGCAGCUUACGCAUUAAGUGACCGCC
rnacentral:rRNA from 1 species